GCCGAAGUGGUGAAAUUGGUAUACACGCAUGUCUCAGAAGCAUGUGAGCGCAAGCUUGUGUGGGUUCAAGUCCCGCCUUCGGCA
rnacentral:tRNA from 1 species